rnacentral:sRNA from 1 species
AGAAGCACUUCCCCUGCUGGUAAGAGUUAUUCAGUCUGCGGAUUCUAAGACCAAAGAAAAUGUCAAUGCUACAGAGAACUGCAUCUCAGCAGUAGGGAAAAUCAUGAAGUUCAAGCCUGACUGUGUAAACGUUGAAGAGGUCCUUCCACACUGGUUGUCUUGGCUUCCACUACAUGAAGAUAAAGAAGAAGCUGUUCAGACUUUCAAUUAUCUGUGUGACCUGAUUGAAAGUAAUCAUCCAAUUGUUCUUGGCCCAAACAAUACCAAUCUGCCCAAAAUAUUCAGUAUAAUUGCAGAAGGAGAAAUGCACGAGGCAAUUAAACAUGAAGAUCCUUGUGCCAAACGUCUGGCCAAUGUCGUUCGCCAAGUACAGGUAAGCUGAUUUGGUUGAAUUGGGGAGGGGGAGAUAAAACCUUUUUUUCUUUGUAGUCCUCUAUGAGAAGAAACUAGAAAUCUAAUGAGCUAAGGAAUUUUAUUUUUAUAUUUUCAUAGUCUCUUGUCUCCAAGCCUCAAAUGGAUUAUACUUAAUGUAAUCCAUCCAUAUGUACUUAUUAUUUAUUAGAAUUAAAACCUUCAUCUUAGGACAUUUUGAGCUUACCAGUUGGUGCUUAACACAAGCUUAUGUGUAGUUUUUCUGCCUAUCUGAAGAAA